rnacentral:rRNA from 1 species
CCUACGGGAGGCAGCAGUAGGGAAUUUUCCGCAAUGGGCGAAAGCCUGACGGAGCAACGCCGCGUGAGUGAAGACGGCCUUCGGGUUGUAAAACUCUGUUCUUGGGGAAGAAGAAAGUGACGGUACCCAAGGAGAAAGCCCCGGCUAACUACGUGCCAGCAGCCGCGGUAAU